rnacentral:lncRNA from 1 species
UAUUCUGGCUGCCUUUUAAAAGAAACCACGGAACCUGUCAAACAAGCAUAUUACACCAAAUUAGCUCCAAUUCUCAGCACUUCCUACCAAUAAUUUCUGAUUCCAAAGUAGAAGCUAUAAAUACUAGAAACAAAAACGUUAAUAUAACCAGUUUAGAUACCAAAGAGAAAAGACAAAGAGGGCCAAUAUUAACUGGAGUUAUGCAACUUUAAUUAAUCCCAUCGUUAAUUAAUCCCAUCGUUAACUGGAGCUAUGGUAUAACAAAGAGGGCCAGAGCAAGUAAAAGGAGAAUGAAAGCAACUCCUUGAUCAAUGGCAGUACCAUCGUUGGACGGAAGUGGUGCAGGAGAUGAACCCAUGCCUUAACCCCAGAAAAGAAAGCAUACCUUUUCUACGACUUUUCUUUCCCUUGUAGGCCUAUCACUACUAGGUGUCACUGGCUCUUUCUUCUCAGCCGAAUCUCAACCAGAUUUCCUAGAACUCCCCUUUCUACUACUACCUUUGACCUUUUUAGUCCCUUCAUCUUCACUCUCUUCUUCUUCCUCCUCCCCCCUCUUCUCUUCCUCUUCUUCUUCUUCUUCUUCCUCGUUCUCCUUCUCUUCAAUAUCUAUUUGUUUCUCCAAAACCCUAACAGAUCGAUAGAAAAGGAGUAGCUAUGGUGGGUGAAUUCAAAUUUUGAGAGUAAAAGGGAAAAAGAAAUAAGUACAAACUUGUAUUUGGGGAUUUGGUUAACGAGCGGGUAACCAAAUUGGGUGAGCGGGAUUUUGCCUUUUUUUUUAUAAAAAAUAAUGGCCUUUUGCGGCGAUUUCUUAAAAAAUGCUGGUAAUUCUUAGAUUUUUUGCUGCGUUUCCACUAAAAACACCACUAUAGCUCAACUUCGCCAUUAUUGC